UGCGUAGGCGGGUCGUUUAAGUCAGGGGUGAAAUCCUGGAGCUCAACUCCAGAACUGCCUUUGAUACUGAAGAUCUUGAGUUCGGGAGAGGUGAGUGGAACUGCGAGUGUAGAGGUGAAAUUCGUAGAUAUUCGCAAGAACACCAGUGGCGAAGGCGGCUCACUGGCCCGAUACUGACGCUGAGGCACGAAAGCGUGGGAGCAAACA
rnacentral:rRNA from 1 species